AACGAACGCUGGCGGCAGGCCUAAUACAUGCAAGUCGAACGCACCGCAAGGUGAGUGGCAGACGGGUGAGUAACGCGUGGGAACCUUCCUAGUAGUACGGAAUAACUCCGGGAAACCGGUGCUAAUACCGUAUAAGCCCUCCGGGGGAAAGAUUUAUCGCUACUAGAUGGGCCCGCGUCGGAUUAGCUUGUUGGUGAGGUAAUGGCUCACCAAGGCUUCGAUCCGUAGCUGGUCUGAGAGGANGAUCAGCCACACUGGGACUGAGACACGGCCCAGACUCCUACGGGAGGCAGCAGUAGGGAAUAUUGGACAAUGGGCGAAAGCCUGAUCCAGCCAUGCCGCGUGAGUGAAGAAGGCCUUUAGGGUUGUAAAGCUCUUUUGGCGGGAAGAUAAUGACGGUACCCGCAGAAUAAGCUCCGGCUAACUUCGUGCC
rnacentral:rRNA from 1 species